CUGAGUUGGCUGGCUCCAUCCAAAUCUAAAUUUGCAAUAAAAAACUGUUUCAAAUGUAUUAUAUUUUCAUACUUUUUUGAGCUAGAGAUAUUGAACAAUAGUAGCCAUGACAAUCAAGAUCACAGCAACAAAACUUACAACAAUAACAUCUGCAAAGUUUAUAAAGAAGAAUAAACAGUAUCCCUAUACUCAAAAGACUACUAGCUCAUUAUAUGAGAUAAAGGUGUGACUGAGGUUGGAGACAGUUAGUUGAAAGGUCAGGAGAGAACUGAGACUUCCCUGGAGAAGAAACUUGCUGCUGGGUCCCCUAGAACUGGAGUCAUGUGAGCUGCCUAAUUUGGAUGCUGGAAACAGAGCUCAGGUCUUCUGCUGGAGGAGUAAACGCUCUUAACCACUGAACCAUCUUCAUGGCUCCUGAAAUUCUCAGAGAAUACAUUAAUUACUUAAUGGAAGAAUGCAUUGACAACCAUGUGAAGCAAUGCUAAAUCAGAUGAAAAAAGCAUGAUUUGGAAUACACUGCUGAUGACUUCACAAGGAAUCAACCAUGACCUCACUUAAGAUUUAAUGACAUAGAAGGUAUACUGCAUUGCCAUAUGCCUCAAGAAAGAGAAAGAAGGCUGGAGAGCACAGAUCACUGUGAGCACAGACGAAGCUAGAUGGGGCACACUUUCUCUAGCCUUUUAUCAACUGCAUUUCCCAGACUCUUCCCCAGUCCAGCAUCUAUCUCUCUUCGGGACCCUGAGCAUCAAGAUGAUGAGAAGCACCAGAAAUGCUACACUAGUCUUUGUGGAUUGUCUCCCCAGUUCCAUGGUUUAUUCUCUUUCCUUCCCUGGACCCUCAGAUACAAGGAUAAGUAUUUAAAUUAUACACAAGCACUCUUACCAUUGACCAUCCCUUGACUAAAUAAGGGAGAAACAAGCUGCAAUGAAUACCUUCACA